ACUACGGGUGGCAGCAGUGAGGAAUAUUGGUCAAUGGUCGGGAGACUGAACCAGCCAAGCCGCGUGAGGGAGGAAGGUACAGAGUAUCGUAAACCUCUUUUGUCAGGGAACAAAGACUGGGACGCGUCCCCGGAUGAGUGUACCUGAAGAAAAAGCAUCGGCUAACUCCGUGCCAGCAGCCGCGGUAAUACGGGGUAUGCGAGCGUCAUCCGGAUUUAUUGGGUUAAAAGGGGGCGCAGGGGGCUUGUUAAGUCAGCGUGCAAACCCCGGGGCGCAACCCCGGCCCGCCGUUGAAACUGGCAGUCUCGAGUUGGAGAGAAGUAUGCGGAAUGCGCGGGGUAGCGGUGAAAUGCAUAGAUAUCGCGCAGAACUCCGAUUGCGAAGGCAGCAUGCCGGCUCCACACUGACGCUGAGGCACGAAAGCGUGGGUAUCGAACAGGAUUAGAUACCCGUGUAGUC
rnacentral:rRNA from 1 species